GAGCGGCCGCGCCCCCCGCGCUGCCACCCCGCGAGCCCGCAUCAUGGAUGUCGGGCUCUCCUAUUUCGCUUUGCUCGCCUUGGAAUUCGAGACUCCAGACGAGGACCAGGAUUCAUGAGCCGGUCGCAGGGGCCCAGGCAGGGGCCUCUGGCUCCCGACGCUGGCCGAGAGGUGAUGAGUGAGGUCGGAAGAUCGCAAGAUUUAAAAAAGCAACCGGGUCCUCCGUAUUGAAUGAAAGACCCAGUGCAAAGGCAUCACCAUGAACACGAGCAUUCCUUAUCAGCAGAAUCCUUACAAUCCCCGAGGCAGCUCCAAUGUCAUCCAGUGCUACCGGUGUGGAGACACCUGCAAAGGGGAAGUGGUCCGUGUCCACAAUAACCACUUCCACAUCAGAUGCUUCACCUGUCAAGAUUUGUUCUCAUGAAGUUUGCUGAAUACUGCAUGUGUGCUGUUCCCUGUGGCUGCCGUUCACCUACUUGUAGUCAGGUCUCCCCACGC